rnacentral:rRNA from 1 species
AGCGGCGGACGGGUGAGUAAUNCCUAGGAAUCUGCCUGGUAGUGGGGGAUAACGUUUCGAAAGGNACGCUAAUACCGCAUACGUCCUACGGGAGAAAGCNGGGGAUCUUNNGACCUCACGCUAUCAGAUGAGCCUAGGUCGGAUUAGCUAGUUGGNGNGGUAAAGGCUCACCAAGGCGACGAUCCGUAACUGGUCUGAGAGGAUGAUCAGUCACACUGGAACUGAGACACGGUCCAGACUCCUACGGGAGGCAGCAGUGGGGAAUCAUUGGACAAUGGGNGAAAGCCUGAUCCAGCCAUGCCGCGUGUGUGAAGAAGGUCUUCGGAUUGUAAAGCACUUUAAGUUGGGAGGAAGGGCAGUAACUUUAAUACCUGNNUGUUNUGACGGUACCGACAGAAUAA